GACGGGGGGGGCAAGUGUUCUUCGGAAUGACUGGGCGUAAAGGGCACGUAGGCGGUGAAUCGGGUUGAAAGUGAAAGUCGCCAAAAAGUGGCGGAAUGCUCUCGAAACCAAUUCACUUGAGUGAGACAGAGGAGAGUGGAAUUUCGUGUGUAGGGGUGAAAUCCGUAAAUAUACGAAGGAACGCCAAAAGCGAAGGCAGCUCUCUGGGUCCCUACCGACGCUGGGGGUGCGAAAAGCCAUGGGGGAGCGAACAGG
rnacentral:rRNA from 1 species